CCCAGUACAUAGGCAGCAGGUAUUUUCAUUAUUUUUACUAGUUAUUACUUUAAAUUUUCCAGAGCUACUAUACAACUUCAGCCUCUUAUUCAAUGAUAGGUUGUUGAUUCACUUAGUAGUCGUCCCACUGUUUGGCCAAUGUCACAUCAACAACAUUUUCAUGCAUUUUCAUCCCAAGAGGUUCACCUUUCAAAGAAAGGGAAGAAGAAGAAGAAGAACUAACAAGGUAAAAGUACUAAACAUCACUAGUUUUUAAUUUCUCACUUUUCUAAUUCUAUUAAGACAUGAUGUGAUUUGGUGUUGGAAAUUAGUGAUUUUGUCGUGGACCUAAUCAGGUCUUUCUUAUUAGCCAUUGUGUAGUUGGUUAGAACAUUAUGAGUCUAGUAUGUAGACCUGACGAGUCUUCAUAUGAAUUCUGUAAGUGGGUUAAUUUAUAAUGUCCCAUUACAUCAUGGUUCUGUCUGUUUGACCCUUCCAUAUUGAAUGGAGACCCUUACCUCAUGGUUAAGUUACAAUUCUUUUUUGUUGGCAAUCAAAAAAAAAAAAGAAAAAGAAAAAAGAAUAAGCCUUAUUGAUUCUACAUGUUCAAUUUGAAAGUUGAGGAUCUUGUUUAAUGUGUGUUUGGCAGAUUGUUUUUGACUUUGUUUUACUGCUGGGACAUUUGCUGCUAUUUUGGGAACAGUCGGAGCUGAUUUUUUUGUUGAAUUAAUGGGUUCUUUUUAGGGAUUUUUGUAUUUUUCUGCUGCCCUAUUCUGGAACUUAUAUUCUACACGAGAGACAGAGAGAGAGAGAG